rnacentral:rRNA from 1 species
CGAGUGGCGAACGGGUGAGUAACACGUAGGUGAUCUGCCCUGCACUUCGGGAUAAGCCUGGGAAACUGGGUCUAAUACCGGAUAGGAGCCAUUUUUAGUGUGAUGGUUGGAAAGUUUUUCGGUGUAGGAUGAGCUCGCGGACUAUCAGCUUGUUGGUGGGGUAAUGGCCUACCAAGGCGGCGAUGGGUAGCCGGCCUGAGAGGGUGGACGGCCACAUUGGGACUGAGAUACGGCCCAG